rnacentral:RNase_P_RNA from 1 species
UGAGUCUGCCGGGCGGCCGCUGUUCGAGAGAGCAGAGGAAAGUCCGGACUCCACAGGGCAGGGUGCUGGGUAACUCCCAGGCGGGGUGACCCGACGGAAAGUGCCACAGAGAACAGACCGCCGAUGC